rnacentral:rRNA from 1 species
AGUCGAACGGGAUCCAUCAGGCUUUGCUUGGUGGUGAGAGUGGCGAACGGGUGAGUAAUGCGUGACCGACCUGCCCCAUACACCGGAAUAGCUCCUGGAAACGGGUGGUAAUGCCGGAUGCUCCAGUUGAUCGCAUGGUCUUCUGGGAAAGCUUUCGCGGUAUGGGAUGGGGUCGCGUCCUAUCAGCUUGACGGCGGGGUAACGGCCCACCGUGGCUUCGACGGGUAGCCGGCCUGAGAGGGCGACCGGCCACAUUGGGACUGAGAUACGGCCCAGACUCCUACGGGAGGCAGCAGUGGGGAAUAUUGCACAAUGGGCGCAAGCCUGAUGCAGCGACGCCGCGUGAGGGAUGGAGGCCUUCGGGUUGUAAACCUCUUUUAUCGGGGAGCAAGCGAGAGUGAGUUUACCCGUUGAAUAAGCACCGGCUAACUACGUGCCAGCAGCCGCGGUAAUACGUAGGGUGCAAGCGUUAUCCGGAAUUAUUGGGCGUAAAGGGCUCGUAGGCGGUUCGUCGCGUCCGGUGUGAAAGUCCAUCGCUUAACGGUGGAUCCGCGCCGGGUACGGGCGGGCUUGAGUGCGGUAGGGGAGACUGGAAUUCCCGGUGUAACGGUGGAAUGUGUAGAUAUCGGGAAGAACACCAAUGGCGAAGGCAGGUCUCUGGGCCG